GACAGAGGGUGCAAACGUUGUUCGGAAUUACUGGGCGUAAAGCGUGUGUAGGCGGUCUUGUAAGUCGGAUGUGAAAUCUCCAGGCUCAACCUGGAGCGGCCAUUCGAUACUUCUAUGACUAGGGUCCAGUAGGGGAGUGUGGAAUUCCCGGUGUAGCGGUGAAAUGCGUAGAUAUCUGGAGGAAUACCGGUGGCGAAGGCGGCAUCCCGGACCGACAUUGACGCUGAGGAGCGAAAGCUAGGGGAGCAAACGGG
rnacentral:rRNA from 1 species